CUGGUAGAAGGUUAGGGCUAUGACCAGACACUAUCAAGCCUUCAUCACAUACUGGUUGACUUUAUCUUGAGAAAGAAGGAGGCAGAGGACAUAACGUCAGAGCAGCUGCUGUUCAAAACUUCCAUCAUGAAAACAGCUGCAGGGAUCUGCAGCCAGGAGGUGGUCAAUGCUUGCCAGGGCAGCAGUCCAGGUUGCUGUUGUUGGACUCCAGCAGUGAGGGAAACUACCGCAGCGAAGAGGGAGUUCCUCUGAAUCCAGCUGUGUAAAUUCACUGUUGUGCUGCUGAUCACAUCUCUUUGACCACCUUACCAUGUUACCAAAGCUUGGGCCACAACAAGUCUAUUUAAUGGCAUUAGCCCACCACAGAAGCCACAUUUUGAAAGGAAGGAAUUCCUCAGUUUUCAGCAGUUUGAAAGAAGACAAACAUUUUGUUGUUUUAAAAGUUGUUUAGUGAUGAUAUGAUGUGGUGUGGUCCUUAUAUUUAGUCUGGAGAUCAUAUUAAAUGUUGGCUAGAAUCAAAGGAAAUAUGUAACCACUUUAACAUUUGUCAGCAAUGGGAUUCUCCAUCAUGUUAAAAAAGAAUUUAAAUCACAUCUCUCCUGAUUUAUUAUGGUUCAGCUAUCUGAAUAUUUGAACCCAGCCUCAAAGGAAACAAACAAAAAACAGGAUCCUACUUAAGCAUAGUAGACGCUGUGAGAAAUAAUGUAAAUCUUAAAAAAAACAGCAGAACACAGCUUGUAUUUUUGUUACGUUUAUUUGUUUUACGGUUAUCCAGGAUCAGUAA